GAUCCUGGCUUAGGAUGAACGCUGGCGGCGUGCCUAACACAUGCAAGUCGAGCGGAGGGCCGUAACGGAAGCCUUCGGGUGGAAGAUGCGGUUACUUAGCGGCGGACGGGUGAGUAACGCGUGGAUAACCUGGCUCAUACAGGGGGAUAACAGAGAGAAAUUUCUGCUAAUACCGCAUAAGCGCACGUAACCGCAUGGUUAUGUGUGAAAAGCCGAGACGGUAUGAGAUGGAUCCGCGUCCGAUUAGCCAGUUGGCGGGGUAACGGCCCACCAAAGCGACGAUCGGUAGCCGGCCUGAGAGGGCGGACGGCCACAUUGGGACUGAGACACGGCCCAGACUCCUACGGGAGGCAGCAGUGGGGGAUAUUGCACAAUGGAGGGAACUCUGAUGCCAGCGACGCCGCGUGGGUGAAGAAGUAUUUCGGUAUGCAAAGCCCUAUCAGCAGGGACGAUAAUGACGGUACCUGACUAAGAAGCCCCGGCUAACUACGUGCCAGCAGCCGC
rnacentral:rRNA from 1 species